UACGUAGGGUCCAAGCGUUAUCCGGAAUCACUGGGCGUAAAGCGUGCGUAGGCGGAUGUUUAAGUGCAAUGCGAAAUCCUGUGGCUCAACCAUAUGGACUGUGUUGCAUACUGGAUAUCUGGAGGAAUGCAGAGGCAAGUGGAAUUACUGGUGUAGCAGUGAAAUGCGUAGAUAUCAGUAGGAACACCAAUGGCGAAGGCAGCACUCUGGGACGUGACUGACGCUGAGACGCGAAAGCGUGGGGAGCAAACAGG
rnacentral:rRNA from 1 species